rnacentral:rRNA from 1 species
AUUGAACGCUGGCGGCGGGCCUAACACAUGCAAGUCGAACGCGUGGCGGGCGGGUGAGUCACGUCUGGGAAACUGCCUGAUGGCGGGGGAAAACUACUGGAACCGGUAGCUAAUACCGCAUACCAUCAGAUGUGCCCAGGUGGGAUUAGCUGUUUGGUGGGGUAACGGCUCACCAAGGCGUCGAUCCCUAGCUGGUCUGAGAGGAUGACCAGCCACACUGGAACUGAGACACGGUCCAGACUCCUACGGGAGGCAGCAGUGGGGAAUAUUGCACAAUGGGCGAAAGCCUGAUGCAGCCAUGCCGCGUGUAUGAAGAAGGCCUUCGGGUUGUAAAGUACUUUCAGCGGGGAGGCGUUACCCGCAGAAGAAGCACCGGCUAACUCCGUGCCAGCAGCCGCGGUAAUUC